UACGUAGGUGGCAGGCGUUGUCCGGAUUUACUGGGCGUAAAGAGCGCGCAGGCGGUCGUUCAAGUCGAGUGUGAAAGCCCCCGGCUCAACUGGGGAGGGUCACUCGAUACUGAUCGACUCGAAGGCAGAAGAGGGAAGCGGAAUUCCCGGUGUAGUGGUGAAAUUCGUAGAUAUUCGCAAGAACACCAGUGGCGAAGGCGGCUCACUGGCCCGGUACUGACGCUGAGGUGCGAAAGCGUGGGGAGCAAACAGG
rnacentral:rRNA from 1 species